rnacentral:rRNA from 1 species
CGGCGGACGGGUGAGUAACACGUGGAUAACCUACCUAUAAGACUGGGAUAACUUCGGGAAACCGGAGCUAAUACCGGAUAAUAUAUUGAACCGCAUGGUUCAAUAGUGAAAGACGGUUUUGCUGUCACUUAUGGAUGGAUCCGCGCCGCAUUAGCUAGUUGGUAAGGUAACGGCUUACCAAGGCGACGAUGCGUAGCCGACCUGAGAGGGUGAUCGGCCACACUGGAACUGAGACACGGUCCAG